AUAUUUACCUGACAGGGAAGAGACCAUGAUCAUGAAGGUGGUUUUCCCAGGGCGAGGCUUAUCCAUUGCACUCCGGAUGUGCAGACCCCUGCAAUUUCCCCAAACGUGGGAAACUUGACUGCAUAAUUUGUGGUAGUGGGGGACUAUGUUUGUGCUCUUCUC
rnacentral:snRNA from 1 species